CAGGAGAAUCGCUUGAACCCGGGAGGCAGAGGUUGCGGUGAGUCGAGACUGCGUCAUUGCACUCCAGCCUGGGCAACAAGAGCAAAACUUCAUCUCAAAAAAAUAAAUUAUAUAUAGCUAUUCCUAUGACUAAAAGGACUUUUUUGUUUGUUUGAGACAGAGUCUCACUCUCGUCCAGGCUGGGGUGCAGUGGUGCAAACUCGGCUCACUGCAACCUCCGCCCCAGAGUUCAAGCGAUUCUCCAGCCUCA
rnacentral:lncRNA from 1 species